CUCUUAUCGAGAGUGGUGGAGGGACGGGCCCGAUGAAACCCGGCAACCAGCCGCCCCCGGCGGUCCGGUGCCAACUCCCGCAGGCCGCGGCGCGGCCUGGAAGAUGAGGG
rnacentral:ncRNA from 1 species